AGAGUUUGAUCCUGGCUCAGAACGAACGCUGGCGGCGUGCCUAACACAUGCAAGUCGAACGAGAAAUUCCGGCUUCGGCUGGAAGAGUAAAGUGGCGCACGGGUGAGUAACGCGUGGGUAACCUGCCCUUGAAUCUGGGAUAACUCCGCGAAAGCGGUGCUAAUACCGGAUAUCGUCCCUUUGACUUUGGUCAUUGUGAUGAAAGGUGACCUCUUCAUGAAAGUUGCCGUUUAAGGAGGGGCCCGCGUACCAUUAGCUAGUUGGUGAGGUAACGGCUCACCAAGGCUGCGAUGGUUAGCUGGUCUGAGAGGAUGAUCAGCCACACUGGAACUGGAACACGGUCCAGACUCCUACGGGAGGCAGCAGUGAGGAAUUUUGCGCAAUGGGGGAAACCCUGACGCAGCAACGCCGCGUGAGUGAAGAAGGCCUUCGGGUCGUAAAGCUCUGUCAAGUGGGAAAAAAUCUUCAUCGUGAACAGCGCUGAAGACUGAUGGUACCACUAAAGGAAGCACCGGCUAACUCCGUGCCAGCAGCCGCGGUAAUACGGAGGGUGCUAGCGUUGUUCGGAAUUACUGGGCGUAAAGGGCGUGUAGGCGGUUUGGCAAGUCGGGCGUGAAAGCCCAGGGCUCAACCCUGGAAGUGCGUUUGAAACUGCCACUCUGGAGUAUGGGAGAGGAGAGUGGAAUUCCCAGUGUAGAGGUGAAAUUCGUAGAUAUUGGGAGGAACACCCGUGGCGAAGGCGACUCUCUGGACCAAUACUGACGCUGAGACGCGAAAGCGUGGGGAGCAAACAGGAUUAGAUACCGUGGUAGUCCACGCCGUAAACGAUGAGAACUAGGUGUAGCGGGUAUUGACCCCUGCUGUGCCGUAGCUAACGCAUUAAGUUCUCCGCCUGGGGAGUACGGCCGCAAGGCUAAAACUCAAAGGAAUUGACGGGGGCCCGCACAAGCGGUGGAGCAUGUGGUUUAAUUCGACGCAACGCGAAGAACCUUACCUGGGUUUGACAUCCUUUGACCGCCAUGGAAACAUGGUUUUCCCGACUCUGUCGGGACAGAGUGACAGGUGCUGCAUGGCUGUCGUCAGCUCGNNNNGUGAGAUGUUGGGUUAAGUCCCGCAACGAGCGCAACCCU
rnacentral:rRNA from 1 species